GCCUGGGUGGCUCAGUGGGUUAAAGCCUCUGACUUCGGCUUAGGUCAUGAUCCCAGUGUCCUGGGAUAGAGUCCCACCUCAGGCU
rnacentral:tRNA from 1 species